rnacentral:rRNA from 1 species
UGGGGAAUUUUGGACAAUGGGCGAAAGCCUGAUCCAGCAAUGCCGCGUGUGUGAAGAAGGCCUUCGGGUUGUAAAGCACUUUUGUCCGGAAAGAAAUCCUUGGCUCUAAUACAGUCGGGGGAUGACGGUACCGGAAGAAUAAGCACCGGCUAACUACGUGCCAGCAGCCGCGGUAAUACGUAGGGUGCAAGCGUUAAUCGGAAUUACUGGGCGUAAAGCGUGCGCAGGCGGUUUGCUAAGACCGAUGUGAAAUCCCCGGGCUCAACCUGGGAACUGCAUUGGUGACUGGCAGGCUAGAGUAUGGCAGAGGGGGGUAGAAUUCCACGUGUAGCAGUGAAAUGCGUAGAGAUGUGGAGGAAUACCGAUGGCGAAGGCAGCCCCCUGGGCCAAUACUGACGCUCAUGCACGAAAGCGUGGGGAGCAAACAGGAUUAGAUACCCUGGUAGUCCACGCCCUAAACGAUGUCAACUAGUUGUUGGGAAUUCAUUUCCUUAGUAACGUAGCUAACGCGUGAAGUUGACCGCCUGGGGAGUACGGUCGCAAGAUUAAAACUCAAAUGAAUUGACGGGGU